AUACCCUAUCGGCCUUACGGCUACGAUCAAGUGUAGUAUGUGCUCUAAUCAGUGUGAUACUGAUUUCCCGACAAUUGUAAGCUAUCUUUUCACAUCAAUUUUACUAUCGUCUUGUGGUGGGACGGGUAGCUGGCCCUCACGAGACCGGUCCCUGAGGAUCCCACUUUCUCUCGGCGAUGCCGACCACCA
rnacentral:snRNA from 1 species